rnacentral:rRNA from 1 species
UAAUACGAAGGGCCCGAGCGUUAUUCAGAAUCACUGGGCUUAAAGCGUACGUAGGCGGACUUGUAGGCGUUUUGUGAAAUCCCUCGGCUCAACCGAGGAACUGCAGAGCGAACCAUAAGUCUUGAGACAGACGGAGGUCGUCGGAACGAUUGGUGGAGUGGUGAAAUGCGUUGAUAUCAAUCGGAACGCCGAAGGAGAAGUCAGGCGACUGGGUCUGUUCUGACGCUGAGGUACGAAAGCGUGGGUAGCGAACGGGAUUAGAUACCCCGGUAGUCCACGCCGUAAACGAUGUGCACUAGGUCGAGGGCGUUCUGACGCGACUCUCGGCCGAAGCGAAAGUGUUAAGUGCACCGCCUGGGGAGUACGGUCGCAAGGCUA